UGGGGAAUAUUGCACAAUGGGCGAAAGCCUGAUGCAGCAACGCCGCGUGAGUGAUGAAGGCCUUCGGGUUGUAAAGCUCUGUCUUUUGGGACGAUAAUGACGGUACCAAAGGAGGAAGCCACGGCUAACUACGUGCCAGCAGCCGCGGUAAUACGUAGGUGGCAAGCGUUGUCCGGAUUUACUGGGCGUAAAGGAUGCGUAGGCGGAUUUUUAAGUGAGAUGUGAAAACCCUAAGCUUAACUUGGGGACUGCAUUUCAUACUGGAAAUCUAGAGUGCGGGAGAGGAGAAUGGAAUUCCUAGUGUAGCGGUGAAAUGCGUAGAGAUUAGGAAGAACACCAGUGGCGAAGGCGAUUCUCUGGACCGUAACUGACGCUGAGGCAUGAAAGCGUGGGUAGCAAACAGGAUUAGAUACCCUGGUAGUCCACGCCGUAAACGAUGAGUACUAGGUGUAGGAGGUAUCGACCCCUUCUGUGCCGCAGUUAACACAAUAAGUACUCCGCCCUGGGAAGUACGAUCGCAAGAUUAAAACUCAAAGGAAUUGACGGGGUCAUAGCUGUUUUCCU
rnacentral:rRNA from 1 species